AGGUCAUAGUGAUCCGGUGGUUCUGAAUGGAAGGGCCAUCGCUCAACGGAUAAAAGGUACUCCGGGGAUAACAGGCUGAUACCGCCCAAGAGUUCAUAUCGACGGCGGUGUUUGGCACCUCGAUGUCGGCUCAUCACAUCCUGGGGCUGAAGUAGGUCCCAAGGGUAUGGCUGUUCGCCAUUUAAAGUGGUACGCGAGCUGGGUUUAGAACGUCGUGAGACAGUUCGGUCCCUAUCUGCCGUGGGCGCUGGAGAACUGAGGGGGGCUGCUCCUAGUACGAGAGGACCGGAGUGGACGCAUCACUGGUGUUCGGGUUGUCAUGCCAAUGGCACUGCCCGGUAGCUAAAUGCGGAAGAGAUAAGUGCUGAAAGCAUCUAAGCACGAAACUUGCCCCGAGAUGAGUUCUCCCUGAGACUUAG
rnacentral:rRNA from 1 species